rnacentral:rRNA from 1 species
GAUGAACGCUGGCGGCGUGCCUAAUACAUGCAAGUCGAGCGAACAGACGAGAGUGCUUGCACUCUCUGACGUUAGCGGCGGACGGGUGAGUAACACGUGGGUAACCUACCUAUAAGACUGGGAUAACUUCGGGAAACCGGAGCUAAUACCGGAUAAUAUUUAGCUUCGCAUGAAGCAAUAGUGAAAGACGGUUCUGCUGUCACUUAUAGAUGGACCCGCGGUGUAUUAGCUAGUUGGUGAGGUAACGGCUCACCAAGGCAACGAUACAUAGCCGACCUGAGAGGGUGAUCGGCCACACUGGGACUGAGACAUGGCCCAGACUCCUACGGGAGGCAGCAGUAGGGAAUCUUCCGCAAUGGACGAAAGUCUGACGGAGCAAUGCCGCGUGAGUGAAGAAGGUUUUCGGAUCGUAAAACUCUGUUGUAAGGGAAGAACAAGUACGUUAGUAACUGAACGUACCUUGACGGUACCUUACCAGAAAGCCACGGCUAACUACGUG